ensembl:lncRNA
GUAAGUAUCUUAUUAUUCUUAUUCUCAGAUUAGGCUACACUACAGCCUCCACCUCACAUUGGUUUUGAGUUGGACAGACUAAAGCCCAUUACUAAUUACAAAUCGAGUGUAUUUAAUCAAUUAUGAGUCCAAAUGAAUGCAAUCUUAUAUCAGAAUGAUGUCAUAAGUGCAUUUGUUGUACUAAAUGUGUUCCUCUAUAUUGCUCUUAGACUCACUUGAACACGAUCCUGAAAAUGACCCGGAAUACACACCUGUCAAUGAAGAUGCUGUUGAUGUUGAUGUUGCUGUUGACCGGGGAAGGUCAAGAAAGAGGGCCAACCCAGACGCUUGGAAGGGUAACAUUCAGAAAAGGAGAAGAAUGAGGGGCCAAUCAUAUCUUGGACGAAAAAAAAAUGAAUUCAUCAACAUAGAAGAAAGAAAAAUGGAGGGGCGGUGCCUGGCUGAGGCCUGCCGGAAAUCCAGCAAACUACACUGCACCGAAAUCGAUGAAGGGAAGAGGGAAAAAAUAUUCAAGUAUUUUUGGGGGAAAUUGGACUGGAAAGAAAGGAAAAUCUAUGUGAAGUCACUGGUGGAGGUGAGCUCUGUCAAGACAAGUGUUCAGUAACACCUUUAAAGAAUUAAAUCUGUCAUUGUUCCAUCCAAAAAAAGAUCAGUGUGACACUUGCUGUGCCUUCAAAGCCGGGAACAUCGAGGCUGCUGUGUGGGAGGAACACUGCGUUAAGAAGGACGAGGCACGAGCAGAAAAGGAUAGGGACAAGCAACUUGCAAAUAACACCACCUUGGUUGCAUGCAUGGAUCUGCAGGGCCUUCUCCUCUGCCCAAAGCUUCAAGCGUCUGCCCUCUAUUUCAAAAUGAAGCUGAGUGUCCAUAAUUUUACCAUCUACAAUAUGGCAUCACAUGAAGCGACAAAUUACCUUUGGCAUGAGGGUGAGGGGGGGGUCUCUGCCAAUGAGUUUGCCUCCUGCAUUGUGGACUAUCUUGAAACACACCUCACUUACACUGAAUUCAUUCUUUGGAGUGAUGGGUGUGGUUAUCAAAACCGAAACCUGGUCCUGAGCAAUGCCCUCUUAAAG